GGAUAAGCUACAAAGGGCUAAUGGCGAAUGCCUUGGCAUCGGGAGGCGAUGAAGGACGUGGCAAGCUGCGAUAAGCUUCGGGGAGCCGUUAACAGGCUGUGAUCCGGAGAUCUCCGAAUGGGGCAACCCGGCGGGGGUGAUACCCCGUCAUCCUGAGAUCAAUACAUAGUUUCAGGAGGCGAACGCGGGGAAGUGAAACAUCUCAGUACCCGUAGGAACAGAAAUCAACAGAGAUUCCGUUAGUAGCGGCGAGCGAACGCGGAUCAGCCCAACCUACCUCAUUAAGGAUCAUGAAUGUAUAGCGGAACGGUCUGGAAAGGCCGGCCAAAGACGGUGAUAGUCCGGUACGCGAAAUACAGUCAUAUCCGAGGUUAAACGAGUACCACGGGACACGUGAAACCCUGUGGGAAUAUGGGAGGACCAUCUUCCAAGGCUAAAUACUACCCGAUGACCGAUAGUGAACGAGUACCGUGAGGGAAAGGUGAAAAGAACCCCGGGAGGGGAGUGAAAUAGAAACUGAAACCGUUAGCCUACAAGCAGUGGAAGCCCUAUGUCGUCAGACAGGGUGACCGCGUGCCUUUUGCAUAAUGAGUCAACGAGUUACCGUCGUCAGCGAGGUUAAGCCGCGAGGUGGAGCCGCAGCGAAAGCGAGUCUUAACAGGGCGAUCAGUUGUCGGCGGUAGACCCGAAACCGGGUGAUCUAUCCAUGGCCAGGGUGAAGUCUCGGUAACACGAGAUGGAGGCCCGAACCGGUAUAGGUUGAAAACUGUUCGGAUGAGCCGUGGAUAGGAGUGAAAGGCUAAUCAAACUCGGUGAUAGCUGGUUUUCUCCGAAAUAUAUUUAGGUAUAGCCUCGCAUGAUGACUGACGGAGGUAGAGCACUGACAGGGCUAGGGGUCCCACCGGAUUACCACCCCCUUUCAAACUCCGAAUACCGUCAAGUUCUAGUGCGGGAGUCAGACUGUGGGAGAUAAGUUCCAUGGUCGAGAGGGAAACAGCCCAGACCGCCGGCUAAGGUCCCAAAAUCCAUGCUCAGUGGAAAAGGAGGUGGAAUUGUUCAGACAACCAGGAGGUUGGCUUAGAAGCAGCAACCCUUUAAAGAAAGCGUAAUAGCUCACUGGUCUAAUGAAUCUGCGCCGAAAAUUCAACGGGGCUAAGCAUGGUACCGAAGCCGCGGAACCAGAAGUCAGAAUACAGAGGACAGAAACCAGAUGCUCAGUUCAUUUGAAGACUUGGAGGUGUUUAAGCGAGCCUAUGUGCUUUCGCUGGAGAUUCACAAACGCAGUAUAGAAUUUCUAAAAGUAGAGCAAUACGGGCUUGGCGAUCAGAUCCGCAAGGCAAGUAAAUCGAUUUGCGCCAACCUUGCGGAGGGAUUUGCCAAACAACGGUAUUCAAGUCAGGAGUUUAAGCGGUAUGUGAUGAUUGCCGUGGGCUCCAGCGAUGAGAUGAGGGUCUGGUUACGAUACUGUCACGAUCUGGGAUACUUAGAAGAAGAGGAUUGGCACCGUUUACGGGAUGGAUAUCAAGAAAUCUCGAAAAUGCUGGCCGGUUUAUACAGGAGCUGGAAGUAGCUGUUUUUUUUCUGACUUCUGUCCUCUGUCUUCUGACUUCUGGUUGGUAGGAGAACAUUGUGGUGGUCUGCGAAGGCGUACCGUAAGGAGCGUUGGAGACCCCACAAGCGCUUAUGUUGACACGAGUAGCGAAAAACAAGGUGAGAAACCUUGUCGCCGUAAGCCUCAGGUUUCCUGUAGUCAAGUUAAUCUGCUCAGGGUUAGUCGGCCCCUAAGGCGAGGCCGAAAGGCGUAGUCGAUGGGAAACGGGUUAAUAUUCCCGUACCGAUUUCAUAAUGCUAUGGUAAGGGGGGACGGAGAAGGAUAGGCCGGCCAUCUGGUGGAAUAGGUGGUUUAAGCGUGUAGGCGGACAACUUAGGUAAAUCCGGGUUGUCAACGCUGAGGCGUGAUGACGAAGUCCGUAGGACUGCAAAGCGGUUGAUUCCCUGCUUCCAGGAAAAGCCUCGUAUCUAGUUAUGAAAGCGACCGUACCGUAAACCGACACAGGUAGGCUGGUAGAGUAUACCAAGGCGCUUGAGAGAACUCUGGUUAAGGAACUCGGCAAAAUAGCACCGUAACUUCGGGAGAAGGUGUACCCGCGUGGUGAAGUCCCUUGCGGACGGAGCCUGGUCGGGUUGCAGUGAAAUGGGGGGAGCGACUGUUUACUAAAAACACAGGACUCUGCGAAGCCGUAAGGCGAGGUAUAGGGUCUGACGCCUGCCCGGUGCCGGAAGGUUAAGGGGACGAGUUAGCUUCGGCAACGCUUUGAACCGAAGCCCCGGUAAACGGCGGCCGUAACUAUAACGGUCCUAAGGUAGCGAAAUUCCUUGUCGGGUAAGUUCCGACCUGCACGAAUGGCGUAACGAUUUCCCCACUGUCUCAACCAGGGACUCAGCGAAACUGUAGCACCGGUGAAGAUGCCGGUUACCCGCAACAAGACAGAAAGACCCCGUGAACCUUUACUAUAGCUUGACAGUGGUUUUUGAGGCAGCAUGUGUAGGAUAGGUGGGAGGUGAUGAAGUGGGCACGCCAGUGUUCAUGGAGCCACCCUUGAAAUACCACCCUUGCUGUCUUAGGAAUCUAACCGCGACCCGUGAUCCGGGUCCGGGACAGUGUCUGGUGGGUAGUUUGACUGGGGCGGUCGCCUCCUAAAGCGUAACGGAGGCGCGCGAAGGUUCCCUCAGGUUGAUUGGAAACCAACCGCAGAGUGUAAAGGCAUAAGGGAGCUUGACUGCGAGAGAGACAUCUCGAGCAGGUACGAAAGUAGGUCUUAGUGAUCCGGCGGUUCCGCAUGGAAGGGCCGUCGCUCAACGGAUAAAAGGUACUCCGGGGAUAACAGGCUUAUCUCCCCCAAGAGUCCAUAUCGACGGGGAGGUUUGGCACCUCGAUGUCGGCUCAUCACAUCCUGGGGCUGAAGCAGGUCCCAAGGGUUUGGCUGUUCGCCAAUUAAAGUGGUACGCGAGCUGGGUUUAAAACGUCGUGAGACAGUUUGGUCCUUAUCUGUUGCGGGCGCAGGAUAUUUGAGGAGAGCUUCCCCUAGUACGAGAGGACCGGGGUGGACGAACCGAUGGUGUACCAGUUGUUUCGCCAGAAGCAUCGCUGGGUAGCUAUGUUCGGCAGGGAUAACCGCUGAAAGCAUCUAAGCGGGAAGCCCACUCCAAGAUAAGAUAUCCCAUGGCUUAGUCGCCAUCUGAAGGCUCGUGGGAGACUACCACGUUGAUAGGUCGGAGGUGGACGCGUGGCAACACGUGGAGCUGACCGAUACUAAUGGGCCGUGCGGCUUAUCCAU
rnacentral:rRNA from 1 species